GUGUGUCAAUGAGUGUAACCAUCCGACUGCAUAUGGGGACAUUUGGACUGCAUAAGUCGGACCCUGUUCAUGCUAAUCAAUAAUAUUGAAAUUGCAUUAAAGCAAGUGAACGAUAACCAAUGAACCCAACCCUGAAAUUUAGUAAAACCGGGGCUUUCUGAAUAUUCUGUAUCCUAUAAUGCUGUAUUCCUAACACUAUAGUGUCCCUCUGCCCCCAUCAGGGCUGGCCGGUCCA